GACGAACGCUGGCGGCGUGCUUAAUACAUGCAAGUCGAGCGAGACUCUUGAUGAAGCUUGCGAUUCAAGAGUUUAGCGGCGGACGGGUGAGUAACGCGUGGGUAACCUACCCAUCAGCGGGGGAUAACACUUGGAAACAGGUGCUAAUACCGCAUAAUUCUUUUCUUCGCCUGGAGGAAAGAUGAAAGACGCUUUUGCGUCACUGAUGGAUGGACCCGCGCUGCAUUAGCUAGUUGGUGGGGUAACGGCUCACCAAGGCCACGAUGCAUAGCCGACCUGAGAGGGUGAUCGGCCACACUGGGACUGAGACACGGCCCAGACUCCUACGGGAGGCAGCAGUAGGGAAUCUUCGGCAAUGGACGAAAGUCUGACCGAGCAACGCCGCGUGAGUGAAGAAGGUUUUCGGAUCGUAAAACUCUGUUGUUAGAGAAGAAUAAGGAUGAGAGUAGAAUGUUCAUCCCUUGACGGUAUCUAACCAGAAAGCCACGGCUAAAC
rnacentral:rRNA from 1 species